GCCUGGGUGGCUCAGUUGGUUGAGCAUCUGACUUCGGCUCAGGUCAUGAUCUCAUGGUCCGUGAGUUCAAGCCCCACAUCGGGCU
rnacentral:tRNA from 1 species